UACAGAGGGUGCGAGCGUUGUCCGGAAUCACUGGGCGUAAAGGGCGCGUAGGCGGCUUGGUAAGUAGGGGGUGAAAUCUUGCGGCUCAACUGCAAGGCUGCCUUCUAAACUGCCAGGCUUGAGCACAGUAGAGGCAGGUGGAAUUCCCGGUGUAGCGGUGGAAUGCGUAGAGAUCGGGAAGAACAUCGGUGGCGAAGGCGGCCUGCUGGGCUGUUGCUGACGCUGAGGCGCGACAGCGUGGGGAGCAAACAGG
rnacentral:rRNA from 1 species